rnacentral:lncRNA from 1 species
AUGCUGGUGAAGGAAUCCCUGAAGUUCCAGAAGUCCAUGCAGGAAUGGAUUAAGACUAUCAAGUGCCAUUGGCAUGCCACAGCUUGCCCCCACCCUGUCCAGCACCUGAAGUGGCCGUGGGCCUACCUUCCUUCCCAGAGAGGUGGCAGCAGGUACCCUGAUCUACUCCAGGAGCAACAAACGUCAGGGUCUACCAUUUCUGGGUCCCCAUCUCCCUUGCAGGGAUGACAGUAUCUUCUUGGUGGAAUGUUGACCAGACAAACUACAGGCUUGCAACUGCAAGUCUA